rnacentral:misc_RNA from 1 species
UUGUGGAGGAGGACGCCGAAGGUGGGGCUAAUGACUGGGGUGAAGUCGUAACAAGGUAGCCGUACCGGAAGGUGCGGCUGGAUCACCUCCUAACAGGGAGACAACAAAAUGUUUAAUAUUAUUAUUUUGUCACCUUAGGUCGAUCGGUAUCUCACAUUCUUGUUUUUCAAGGAUUUCAUUUCCUAAGUUUUUCUAGGUCACACCCAUUAUUUCCUGGGCCAUUAGCUCAGGUGGUUAGAGCGCACCCCUGAUAAGGGUGAGGUCCCUGGUUCAAGUCCAGGAUGGCCCAUCAUAUCUCUAUGUUGGGGGUAUAGCUCAGUUGGUAGAGCGCCUGCUUUGCAAGCAGGAUGUCAGCGGUUCGAGUCCGCUUACCUCCACUGAUUACCACCUCUUCCAUAAUUUAUAGAAAGGAAAUUUUUAGUGGUGAUCAACUUCUGAACGAAUCUAGCUUCCUAAUUAAAUUAUUAAGAUGCUGGACUCAUUGAAUUAUUUUCAUUGUUUUCAGAGAACCUUGACAACUGCAUAGAUUAUUUUUAAAGACAAUAAGCAUCUUUAAUGAUGCAGAUUUAUUAUUUGUGCGAAUGCAUUAAAUAACAAUUCUAUUAAGCUGAUGCUUCAAUUUUUGAAGUUAUUGGUCAAGCUACAA